rnacentral:rRNA from 1 species
CAGCCGCCGCGGUAACACGGAGGAUCCAAGCGUUAUCCGGAAUCAUUGGGUUUAAAGGGUCCGUAGGCGGUCUUGUAAGUCAGUGGUGAAAGCCCAUCGCUCAACGGUGGAACGGCCAUUGAUACUGCAGGACUUGAAUUAUUGGGAAGUAACUAGAAUAUGUAGUGUAGCGGUGAAAUGCUUAGAGAUUACAUGGAAUACCAAUUGCGAAGGCAGGUUACUACCAAUUGAUUGACGCUGAUGGACGAAAGCGUGGGUAGCGAACAGGAUUAGAUACCCCAGUAGUCCCUGUCUCUUAUAC